CAGAAAAUAUCCCAUUGGUCCCAUUGAAAUAAAUUACCAUUUGCUUCAUGUGCUUUUUUGGGUUUCUUUUACUGUGGUCAUAAUUUUUGACGUUUAUUUACUGGUUGUCGCCAUUUAACUUUUGUCAAUUAUUUUUAACAUGUUGGAUACGUAUUUUGUUUUAUGAAUUAAUUGCCACAUUAAAUACAUAAUUGAUCAUUUUUAGUUGCAAUAAUGUGUUAUUUAUAAUAAGUAUGAGGGAAUAAACAAUCACCGAUGCUGUAUUAAUGUGAAAAAGGAGAACAUUCUAUUCUUAUAAUAAUGAAUAUGUGUACAAGGAAAAGACAUGUUUCAAUGUUAAAUUGAUUUAAUAUGCAAAGCAACUAACAACUACGAUUGCCAGUGGCACACUGCUUGCUGCCAUUUCAAUUUAACCUGGUAUAUAUAUUAAUUUAAUAAUUGUUUAUUCUGUGGUAUAAAAAUUAAAUGAGAUGGCAUUAUGUUGUUAUUUUGGCGGAAAUGGGUUUUCUUUCUCAUGAAGAAAACUGGUUGAUUUGAACGGCAGAACUCCAACAAUAGUUAUGAACGACAUAUGGAUGCAGGAGACGAUUGACUUUGAAACAUAAAUCUGGGAAAAAGCUGUAAGAUAGCAUUUUGAUGUGAAGAUGAUCGAUUACUCAGAAAUUACUGCAUUGGAUUAUUUGAUGGCAAUAGGCGGAAACGAUCAGUGUAUUUCUAAUAUUUGCAAAUUUGUGAAAGUAGGAUUUUGAAAGAUCAUACAGGCAAUUUGGAAAGGCAAUUGAAGACCUUUCACUUAGAUAAAUAUGAGGCCUUUCUGCAUGCUUGAGAAUGCAGCACUCAAAGUUCUGACUGGACCAGUAUUAAAUGCUGUGCGAAAUAAAAUCAAUUGACGCAAUAUUAAAGAGCACAUUGGGAACCAUUGUACUAAGAUUAAAGACAGACGUAUUGAAGACUUGAAACGAAAGCUUACUUUAAUAAAAAUUGACAUAGCUUCGAGAUUCAAUUUAACUGUCCUUGCAAUAUAUGUGCCUUAUAUAUUAAAGACAAAGAAAUUGCAAUAAAAACACAUUAAAAGAAACAAGGGCCUUGCAUACAAGCGAAUGCCUAAAGUCCAUUAUAAUGGAAGUUUUACAAUAUUGUAAUAUAAAUUUAAAUCAAAUUUUAACAAUUACAACGGAUAUGUCGUAAAAUGAAUUGAAACCUGUCUUUCUGAAAGUUGUAAAUAAAAGAAUAAUAAAUAA